CGCGCCUUUCACCGGCACCUUGCGUCGGUCGCGCCGCGGGGCCUGCUCCUGCCGCGCGCACCCCCGGGGCUUCGGCUCCGGCACGGGUCGCGCCCAGCUUUCCUGCCCCUGAGGCCGCCGGCCAGCCGCCGCCAUGGGUGCCUACCUCUCCCAGCCCAACACGGUGAAGUGCUCCGGGGACGGGGUCGGUGCCCCGCGCCUGCCGCUGCCCUACGGCUUCUCCGCCAUGCAAGGCUGGCGCGUCUCCAUGGAGGAUGCUCACAACUGUAUUCCAGAGCUGGACAGUGAGACAGCCAUGUUUUCUGUCUACGAUGGACAUGGAGGUAACUUUAACAGAUCAUAUUGGUAACAUUCUAGGACUCCAAUUCCAGACGUUCCAGGGCAAGAACAGGUCCCUUGUUCAUUUACUUUCCAAGGCCUGGCCCUCAUUAUCAUUUCCUGCCUGGUGCUGUUUUUCUGUAUUCUGUCAUUCUUUUUUCCCAGUAGGUACUGUAUCGGUUUAUAAUCUUACCAGGACUUGUUUUAAUCCAAAGAGCCUCUUUAUCUUUUUUUAUUUUUUUAAUCUUUAUUUUUAUUUUAUUUUUAUUUUUUAAAAUUUAUUUUUAAAAUUUUUAGGCCAGGCGCACGGUAGCUCACGCCUGUAAUCCCAGCACAGUGGAUCACGAGGUCAGGAGUUCGAGACCAGCCUGACCAAUAUGGUGAAACCCCAUCUCUACUAAAAAUACAAAAAUUAGCUGGGCGUAGUGGCGGGCGCCUCGGGAGGCUGAGGCAGGAGAAUUACUUGAACCUGGGAAAUGGAGGUUGCAGUGAGGCAAGACCAUGCCACAGCACUCCAGCCUGGGCAACAGAGCAAGACUCUGUGUUAAAAAAAAAAAAAAAUGUGUACCCAGAUGAGCUGAUUCUUUAUCUUUUUUUCACUGGAGAACUAAGUAUACAGGUGAGAAAAGAUGAGAUAUUUAUACCCGAGAGAAUUGAUGGCGAAAUCCAUUGUUUUGGAUCAGAACUUCCCCAAACAGUGUCCUUCAAAUAGGGUUCAGGGGUGCUAAGAUAUUUAUCCCCUCAACCCUUGGGGUUCACUCCAGUAUGGCAUAUAAAUAUUGUAUCACUUUCUAUGUGUGGGGAGCAGUGCUCCAGGUGACCUUCCUUCCUUUCCUUCUAGGGGAGGAAGUUGCCUUGUACUGUGCCAAAUAUCUUCCUGAUAUCAUCAAAGAUCAGAAGGCCUACAAGGAAGGCAAGCUGCAGAAGGUGUGUCUGCUUAACACUGCCCAUUCCUCACUUGUGUAGGCUUUUCCCUUGUUCUCUAGCUCUUGGGCUUUUCCUUUCUUUUUGUCCUUUAGCUGCUGCUGCUUAUUUACUCAUGAAGAAUUCUGUUCCUAAAAUGAGCUUAUUGGCCGCCUUUUAGACUUGUCUUAUUAUUCCUAGGCCUCUGAACUGUUUUUGUCUGUGAGUGUCUCUUAGUGUGGUGGCUCACACUCUAAUUUGUAUUCCAUCCUUGUGCUCAGGAUUGUACAUAGGGAGUUCAUUUUGUACUACUCUUAGACUAUUUUGCUCAUAUUCAGGCUUUAGAAGAUGCCUUCUUGGCUAUUGAUGCCAAACUGACCACUGAGGAAGUCAUUAAAGAGCUGGCACAGAUUGCAGGGCGACCCACUGAGGAUGAAGAUGAAAAAGAAAAAGUAGCUGAUGAAGAUGAUGGUGAGUGUGGCAUCCCUUGUUUGAGGGGAAAUCAGCAUUUUAAGAAAUAUUAUUUAAUAUUACUUAUCAAUUCUAAGAUAGGAUGGCUUUCUAGGGACCUGGGGAGUCCUUAUGUUAAAGAAACCUAUGGUGUUCUCCUGCAUUGUAUGUGAUUAUGAAAAGGAGGGAGAGAAUUAUCUUCGUUGAGUGGCAUCUGAGCUGUAAGCAUUGUAUAUAUAUUAUCUUUUGUCAUUGUGAUGGGGUCUUCCUGGUUCCUGCUGGUAUUUAUGUGUUUUUUUUCCCCCUCAAGACUGGAGCAGUUAUUAGCCCCAAUAGCCAGUCAUUAAGCCUAAAGCCUAAUUCACAAUAGCAUUGUGGCCUUCCUGGAUCCUCAGCCAGAAUAGGGUUUUUACAGCUUAACAAUAACAAAUGAGACGUCAGAGGGGAAGUAUAGUAACUAGUGUUGUUUUGAUUAAGAAGGGGAUGAAACACAAAAACCAAAAGAAGUCUGUGGAGGAGGAGGAGCUAGGGCAUGUUCUUCUGAGACUUGAGCAAGAGGAACCUUAGGAGUGGGAGGUUGUGGGGAAGUUAGAGGCUGCAAGGGCUGUUGAGGUAGUGAGAGGGACGGAUCCCAUGAGGAGUCUGGCAUGGGGGCUCUGAUUUAGCCUCUUCCCUGCAGUGGACAAUGAGGAGGCUGCACUGCUGCAUGAAGAGGCUACCAUGACUAUUGAAGAGCUGCUGACACGCUACGGGCAGAACUGUCACAAGGGCCCUCCCCACAGCAAAUCUGGAGCCUCUGACAAGCUGCCUCGAGUUGCUAAGUCCAAGUUCUUUGAGGACAGUGAGGAUGAGUCAGAUGAGGCGGAGGAGGAAGAGGAAGACAGUGAGGAAUGCAGCGAGGAAGAGGAUGGCUACAGCAGUGAGGAGGCAGAGAAUGAGGAAGAUGAGGAUGACACCGAGGAGGCUGAAGAGGACGAUGAAGAAGAAGAAGAAGAGAUGAUGGUGCCAGGGAUGGAAGGCAAAGAGGAGCCUGGCUCUGACAGUGGUACAACAGCGGUGGUGGCCCUGAUACGAGGGAAGCAGUUGAUUGUAGCCAACGCAGGAGACUCUCGCUGUGUGGUAUCUGAGGCUGGCAAAGCUUUAGACAUGUCCUAUGAUCACAAACCAGAGGAUGAAGUAGAACUAGCACGCAUCAAGAAUGCUGGUGGCAAGGUCACCAUGGAUGGGCGAGUCAACGGGGGCCUCAACCUCUCCAGAGCCAUUGGGGACCACUUCUAUAAGAGAAACAAGAACCUGCCACCUGAGGAACAGAUGAUUUCAGCCCUUCCUGACAUCAAGGUGCUGACUCUCACUGACGACCAUGAAUUCAUGGUCAUUGCCUGUGAUGGCAUCUGGAAUGUGAUGAGCAGCCAGGAAGUUGUAGAUUUCAUUCAAUCAAAGAUCAGCCAGCGUGAUGAAAAUGGGGAGCUUCGGUUAUUGUCAUCCAUUGUGGAAGAGCUGCUGGAUCAGUGCCUGGCACCAGACACUUCUGGGGAUGGUACAGGGUGUGACAACAUGACCUGCAUCAUCAUUUGCUUCAAGCCCCGAAACACAGCAGAGCUCCAGCCAGAGAGUGGCAAGCGAAAACUAGAGGAGGUGCUCUCUACUGAGGGGGCUGAAGAAAAUGGCAACAGCGACAAGAAGAAGAAGGCCAAGCGGGACUAGCAGUCAUCCAGACCCCUGCCCACCUAGACUGUUUUCUGAGCCCUCCGGAACUGAGACUGAGUUUUGUCUUUUUCCUUUAGCCUUAGCAGUGGGUAUGAGGUGUGCAGGGGGAGCUGGGUGGCUUCACUCUGCCCAUUCCAAAGAGGGCUCUCCCUCCACACUGCAGCCGGGAGCCUCUGCUGUCCUCCCCAGCCGCCUCUUUGCUCCUCGGGCUCAUCACCGGUUCUGUGCCUGUGCUCUGUUGUGUUGGAGGGAAGGACUGGCGGUUCUGGUUUUUACUCUGUGAACACUUUAUUUAAGGACAUUCUUUUUUAUUGGCGGCUCCAUGGCCCUCGGCCGCUUGCACCCGCUCUCUGUUGUACACUUUCAAUCAACACUUUUUCAGACUAAAGGCCAAAACCUAAUCGU
rnacentral:sRNA from 1 species